AGUGAACGCCGGCGGUAGGCCUAACACAUGCAAGUCGAACGGCAGCACAGUAAGAGCUUGCUCUUACGGGUGGCGAGUGGCGGACGGGUGAGGAAUACAUCGGAAUCUACUUUUUCGUGGGGGAUAACGUAGGGACACUUACGCUAAUACCGCAUACGACCUACGGGUGAAAGCAGGGGAUCUUCGGACCUUGCGCGAUUGAAUGAGCCGAUGUCGGAUUAGCUAGUUGGCGGGGUAAAGGCCCACCAAGGCGACGAUCCGUAGCUGGUCUGAGAGGAUGAUCAGCCACACUGGAACUGAGACACGGUCCAGACUCCUACGGGAGGCAGCAGUGGGGAAUAUUGGACAAUGGGCGCAAGCCUGAUCCAGCCAUACCGCGUGGGUGAAGAAGGCCUUCGGGUUGUAAAGCCCUUUUGUUGGGAAAGAAAAGCAGCAGGUUAAUACCCCGCUGUUCUGACGGUACCCAAAGAAUAAGCACCGGCUAACUUCGUG
rnacentral:rRNA from 1 species